rnacentral:rRNA from 1 species
AGCGAACGUUAGCGGCGGGCUUAACACAUGCAAGUCGAGCGAGAAAGUCACUUCGGUGGCGAGUAAAGCGGCGGACGGGUGAGUAACACGUGGGCAAUCUACCCUUCGAUGGGGGACAACAUUCCGAAAGGAGUGCUAAUACCGCAUACGUCUAUUCUGUCUACGGAUGGAAUAGGGAAAGCAGGCCAAUUCUUGAAAGCUUGCGUCGAAGGAGGAGCCCGCGUCGCAUCAGCUAGUUGGUAAGGUAAUGGCUUACCAAGGCAAAGACGCGUAGCUGGUCUGAGAGGAUGAUCAGUCACACUGGGACUGAGACACGGCCCAGACUCCUACGGGAGGCAGCAGUGGGGAAUAUUGGACAAUGGGCGCAAGCCUGAUCCAGCCACGCCGCGUGAGUGAUGAAGGCCCUUGGGUCGUAAAGCUCUGUGGGGAGAGACGAAGAAGGUAAGGUUAAUACCCUUGCCGGUGACGGUAUCUCCUUAGCAAGCACCGGCUAACUCCGUGCCAGCAGCCGCGGUAAUACGGAGGGUGCAAACGUUGCUCGGAAUCAUUGGGCGUAAAGCGGGCGUAGGCGGUCUGACAAGUCGGGUGUGAAAUCCCUGGGCUUAACCCAGGACGUGCAUUCGAAACUGCCAGACUU